CAGGACGCGACAGCAGUAGCUCGACAGAAGCUGCUUGUGAAGGUUCUGUGGAAGCCGCCACGACAGCAGCGGAGCCUCUCGACUAUCCUUGCAGUAGCCGUAGUACCUUCUCAGAGACCCACAUGCUCUGAAGCAACUGUGGCUAUUGGACAGAUGGAGAAAGGACAGCAGUAAGGAAUUGGGGACAGGGUGGAAAGGAAGAAGUACUUCUACACACGAUGAAAUGGCUCCACCUUCAUAUUUAUCUUCACAUCAGAGGUUGCACGGGAGGCAUGCACCCAUUCUUCUGACCUCUUCUAGAGCCGUACAUUCAACGAAGAUUGCCGCUUUUGAAACGGCAGUCAGCAAGAAAGGGAAGAGUAGCCUCUCAACGGAGCCGUCCAUGAAGCAACUUCGCAUAUAUGAAUCCGUCGCUGACUGUAGUCGUGUGUGUCAGAAGACACUGGACAACCUCGUCGUCGACGUCGUCGUCUUCGCCAAGCUCAUCGAAUUUUCUGUCGUAGAAGAGUCAUCAUUUGUAAAUAUGUUGCAAUGUCUUGCGCCCAACAAGAAAGUCAUGACAAGAAGAAUGGUCACGACAAGGAUUGAAAAUUGAUUUAGGAAGCUGAAGUCCAGGUUGCAAGACACUUUCCAGCGUCUGCAGAACGUGACCGUGACAGCUAAUAGUUCUUCUUAUGAAGCCACAAAAACGUGGUAGUCAGUAGUUAGUCAGUUAAAUAACUCAGGAAA